rfam:Gossypium arboreum cultivar AKA8401 contig_26298_1, whole genome shotgun sequence.
UAGAGACAAUACAUACAUGAUUUACACAAAAUGGGAGCUAAAGGUCAAAUAAUAUUAAUUUCGGAUACAAGACUUGAAACAAUUAAAACAAAGCAUUGCGAUGGUCCCUGCGAAUGCUCACGCAAUGUGAUUUCUGCCUAGUGCUCUGAAUGUCAAAAUAAAGAAAUUCAACCAAGCGCGGAUAAACAGCGGGAGUAAAUAUGACUCUCUUAAGAUAGCCAAAUACCUCGUCAUCUAAUUAGUGACGCACAUGAAUGGAUUAACGAGAUUCCCACUGUCCCUGUCUACUAUCCAGCGAAACCACGGUCAAGGGAACGGGCUUGG